CGCGUAGGCGGGAUGGCAAGUCGGUCGUGAAAUCCUUCGGCUCAACCGAAGAACGUCGAUCGAUACUGCUGUUCUUGAGGGUUGCAGAGGAGACUGGAAUUCCCGGUGUAGCGGUGAAAUGUGUAGAGAUCGGGAGGAACACCGGUGGCGAAGGCGGGUCUCUGGGCAAUUCCUGACGCUGAGGCGCGAAAGCGUGGGGAGCAAACGGGAUUAGAUACCCCGGUAGUCCACGCUGUAAACGAUGACGACUAGGUGUGGGGGGGUUCAGUCCCCUCCGUGCCGCAGCUAACGCAUUAAGUCGUCCGCCUGGGGAGUACGGCCGCAAGGUUGA
rnacentral:rRNA from 1 species